GUCUAUGGCCAUCCCUCCAUGAACACGCCUGAUCUACUCUGAUCUCAGAAGCUAAGCAGGGUUGGGCCUGGUGAGUACUUGGAUGGAAGAAACAUUUGUUGUAUAAAUAUUAGGUUCCUGUAACUA
rnacentral:rRNA from 1 species